rnacentral:rRNA from 1 species
UACAGAGGUCUCAAGCGUUGUUCGGAUUUACUGGGCGUAAAGGGUGCGUAGGCGGUGGCAUAAGUCGAGUGUGAAAUCUUCCGGCCUAACCGGAAAACUGCACUCGAUACUGCGUCACUAGAGGAUUGUAGAGGAGACUGGAAUUCACGGUGUAGCAGUGAAAUGCGUAGAUAUCGUGAGGAAGACCGGUGGCGAAAGCGAGUCUCUGGGCAAUUCCUGACGCUGAGGCACGAAGGCUAGGGGAGCAAACGGG